GAUUCUUGUCCUUUAAUCCAGGUAUAGUAUUUAUUUUACCUUAAUUUCUGUUUGAGGAAACUCAGGCAGCCAACAAUUUACAUUUGUCAACUCACUCUGCGCUCAUACGUUACGCCCACUCAGAUUUACAUCUGUCUCAAACCCUUAGGUUCUACUACGAUAGCAUCAACAGCUUGCCUCGUCUAAAUUCGGAGGAAAACCAUGCUAUUUUGUACCUUAUAUCCAGGUAUAGUUUUCUUCAAUCUUCAGUACGUUACUGCAGUUCCCAUGUAAGGCCUCAGACAGCCUUCACGGUCCAUUUUGCCACUCGUUUUACCCGUCCAUGCCCCCCAUUAACUCAUAUUUCGCCCAUUCGCCACGCUCACUCAGAUCUACAUCUGUCUCAAACCCCUUAGGCUUCUGCUACGAAAUCACCAACCACUGGACCUCUCUCUCAUAUACUUGAAGAAACAAGUCCACGGGUAUAAUCUCUAUCAAGGUUAGUAUCCUACCAGCACAUAAACGCCAAUUUAUCCCAUAGUUGUUACGUGAACUGGCUCACAGGGUCUGAACGUCAGACUUAGCUCACCGAGGCAUUUACAAACCAUCUCCCAAACCUCAACACGGAGGUAUGGCCCUACGCCCAAAUCAUAGUUAAUCGCCUCAUUCGCUCUUCUACAGGGCCGUAGUCAGG